rnacentral:rRNA from 1 species
AGAUACCCGGGUAGUCCACGCCGUAAACGAUGUCAACUAGCCGUUGGGGGUCUUGUAUCCUUAGUGGCGCAGCUAACGCGAUAAGUUGACCGCCUGGGGAGUACGGUCGCAAGAUUAAAACUCAAAUGAAUUGACGGGGGCCCGCACAAGCGGUGGAGCAUGUGGUUUAAUUCGAAGCAACGCGAAGAACCUUACCAGGUCUUGACAUCCAGAGAACUUACUAGAGAUAGUUUGGUGCCUUCGGGAACUCUGUGACAGGUGCUGCAUGGCCGCCGUCAG